AUGCAACUGACGAGUCCUAAAUAGGACGAAACACUCGUCGUGCUAGAU
rnacentral:hammerhead_ribozyme from 1 species